rnacentral:rRNA from 1 species
GCAUCUAGAUUUGGCUCAGGACGAACGCUGACGGUGUGCUUUAGACAUGCAAGUCGAACGAGAAAGCCCUUCGGGGUGAGUACAGUGGCGAACGGGUGAGUAACACGUGGGCAAUCUGCCCCUCGCAGGGGGACAACCGGGGGAAACCCCGGCUAAUACCCCGUACGCUUGUUGAGUCGCAUGGCUCUUCAAGGAAAGGUAGCUUCGGCCAUCCGGCGAGGGAUGAGCCCGCGGUGCAUUAGCUAGUUGGUGAGGUAACGGCUCACCAAGGCGACGAUGCAUAGCUGGUCUGAGAGGAUGAUCAGCCACACUGGGACUGAGACACGGCCCAGACUCCUACGGGAGGCAGCAGUCGGGAAUCUUGCGCAAUGGGCGAAAGCCUGACGCAGCAACACCGUGUGAGCGACGAAGGCCUUAGGGUCGUAAAGCUCUGUUGUUGGGGACGAAGGGUUAGGGGUUAAUAGCCCCGAGCCUGACGGUACCCUUUGAGGAAGCCCCGGCUAACUACGUGCCAGUAGCCGCGGUAAUACGUAGGGGGCGAGCGUUGUCCGGAAUUAUUGGGCGUAAAGAGCGUGUAGGCGGUUCGGUAAGUCUGCCGUGAAAACCCAGGGCUCAACCCUGGGCGUGCGGUGGAUACUGCCGGGCUAGAGGGUGGUAGAGGCGAGUGGAAUUCCCGGUGUAGCGGUGAAAUGCGCAGAUAUCGGGAGGAACACCAGUAGCAUCGGGAGGAACACCAGUAGCGAAGGCGGCUCGCUGGGCCAUACCUGACGCUGAGACGCGAAAGCGUGGGGAGCAAACAGGAUUAGAUACCCUGGUAGUCCACGCCGUAAACGAUGACACUAGUGUGGGGCGGAGUCGAUCUGUCCGUGCCGCAGCCAACGCGAUAAGUGUCCGCCUGGGGGAGUACGGCGCAGGCUAACUCAAAGAUGAACCGGGCCGCACAAGCCAGCGGGAGCU